UACAGAGGGUGCGAGCGUUAAUCGGAAUUACUGGGCGUAAAGCGUGCGUAGACGGUUGCGUAAGUCAGAUGUGAAAGCCCCGGGCUCAACCUGGGAAUUGCAUUUGAGACUGCGUAGCUAGGGUGCGGAAGAGGGAAGCGGAAUUUCCGGUGUAGCGGUGAAAUGCGUAGAUAUCGGAAGGAACACCAGUGGCGAAAGCGGCUUCCUGGUCCAGCACCGACGUUCAGGUACGAAAGCGUGGGGAGCAAACAGG
rnacentral:rRNA from 1 species